UACGGAGGAUGCAAGCGUUAUCCGGAAUUAUUGGGCGUAAAGCGUCCGCAGGCGGUUUCACAAGUCUGCUGUCAAAGACUGGAGCUUAACUCCGGGCAGGCGGUGGAAACUGUGAAACUAGAGUACGGUAGGGGUAGAGGGAAUUCCCAGUGUAGCGGUGAAAUGCGUAGAGAUUGGGAAGAACACCAGUGGCGAAGGCGCUCUACUGGGCCGUAACUGACGCUCAGGGACGAAAGCUAGGGGAGCGAAAGGG
rnacentral:rRNA from 1 species